UUCAGGGCGUAGUAUUCAGCCAGCUGGUGCAGAGGACAGCUGGAGUUCAGUCCCAUGGAGAAAUCACACACAAUAGAGGAAUCCCAGGAGCGAGGGACAGGCGGUGUGGGUAGAGUGGACUGCUGAGGUCAUGGACAAAAGCCUGCAGGCAAAAAGAAGAAGAUAUUGGCAGUUAGAAGUGGCUCUGAGCCUGCUGGAGGGUUCCAGGGCUAUGUGGAGGGCACGAACAGCAUCUGCUCCCCUGGGG
rnacentral:lncRNA from 1 species